UCGAGGAUCUUCGGCAAUGGGCGCAAGCCUGACCGAGCGACGCCGCGUGUGCGAUGAAGGCCUUCGGGUUGUAAAGCACUGUCGAGGGGGAGGAAAGCCCGCAAGGGUUUGACCUAUCCCUGGAGGAAGCACGGGCUAAGUUCGUGCCAGCAGCCGCGGUAAGACGAACCGUGCGAACGUUGUUCGGAAUCACUGGGCUUAAAGGGCGCGUAGGCGGGUGAUCAAGUCAGGGGUGAAAUCUUUCGGCUCAACCGGAAAACAGCCUCUGAUACUGGUCGUCUUGAGUGAGGUAGGGGCAUGUGAACUUCCGGUGGAGCGGUGAAAUGCGUAGAUAUCGGAAGGAACGCCGGUGGCGAAAGCGACGUGCUGGACCUCUUCUGACGCUGAGGCGCGAAAGCUAGGGGAGCAAACGG
rnacentral:rRNA from 1 species